CACUUGCAACACCUGAAAAACUGGGUUAUAUUAUGGUGGCCAGCUUCUGUUUAACUGCUCUCCAACGAUCACAACUGAAGUACUGGCAUUCUCAACAGAAACCUGACCGCUCUUCUUCCUCUACCCCCCUUCAUAUCCACGCAGAGCAAUCAGCAACCCAAAUCUGCCUUUUCCUCUUUUAUAGCUGAAACACACCAAGCCAAACAGAAAGAAGUUCAUAAAGCUUUUCUUCCUCCCACUUGUGUGCUUUUAUGCUUUUUAGCUACAAUUCAGGAGCUACUCUACUGCAUAAAAACAAUUUACUAACUUGAACAUUUUUUCUUCUGAAAAAAAGCUCAGCAUGGAAGCAAAGAAUUUAGUAUGGGAGUAAAUGGAUUGGGAGCAAGUACUACUUCAAAACACAACCUUAUACCAAGAACACAAAAAGCAUGAAGGACUAUUUGAGGAUGUCAUAUUUCCAUAAUCUAAAUUCUUAAGAUAGCAAAAUUCUAUAGAACUAACUUUGAUCGUGAUGCACAUAUAUAUGGUAGUGUUUCCUAGCAGUCACAACAGUAUUUUGCAAUCAUUUAGCAUUAUCAGGCUCUAAGAAAAUCCAAAGAAAUGUCAAUACUAACUGCAGACUAUAGUUAUUACUAACAAGUAAGUUUACUUCAGCUUGAUGGAGAAAAAAAUUACUUGCUGAAAGAAAAAGCAAACAAGAAAAAACAUAGAGGGGGGAAAAAGAAUGAGACAAAUAACCAGUUUUUUACUUGAAUGGAGAUAAUAAAUACAAACAUCUUAUCCCUAUGUCGAUUCCCUCUCCAUUUAAAAUGGAAUAGGUUAAUGGGAAAUUCCAUUCCAGGCAGAAUAAAACAGAAUCAAAACAAAUCAGUUGGCCAAGAACUAAUUUACACUAUUUCCUACAGCACUUGCAUUUUAUAAAACCAGAUUCAAAAAAGGAUUUGUAUUAAAAAAUGUUUCCUUUCUCAUCUGGACAUGCUAUAAGAUCUCCAAAGAAUUUGGCAUAACCAUCAGCUUACUAUGAGAAUCACAUCUUCAACACAACCAGCAAUAAUAUCACAAGCUAGAAUUUGUGUGUAUCACUGGCACAACAUUAAUCUCAGACAACACCUGCUCAUGCUACAGCCAGCCUAAAUGACCUUUUAUGAUUGCUGUGCUCAUUCUGAGUAAAAAUAUGCCAUCAUUUUUAAAUACAAAUUGUUCUUGUUCUUUUCUGCCCCCAUAUAAACUGGCCAAAUCCAUAAAAUUUUAAAUCUACAGCUGAAUGAUAAAAGGAAACUUACUGAGAACCUCCUGUUAAGGCAAAUGAAGUAACUGAGGUUCUACACUACAUGCAAACAACAGGAAACAACAGCCCUGGGAGUUUUAAUAAGAUUCAGGUAGCUUUCAUGUUCAUGUACUAAUAUAUUGUAUGUAGCAUACAGAUAGAACCUGGAAUCUAGAAGCAUCUUCUAGACUGGAAAUUUAAGGAGGAAAUAAACUGUACCUUAGUGCUCAGACACAUAACUACCAUCACAUUUUAGGUAACAAUAAAUAUAAACAAUACACAUUUAUCAAAUUUUAGUAAUGAAGUCAUCAACAAAAUUUGCUACCCAUACAACAUAACUUCUUCAAAGACUGUCAAAUGCAUGGCUUAAGUUUAUUUACCAUUUUGCCAUCAUAUAUAAAUUUGGGCUGAAAUUUGCAUUCCUGUUGUAUCAAUUCAGAUUUCUAUUUGGCAUUUUAUUUUGCUUUUAGCAGAGUAUCGAAAGCCAACAGCACAAACAAAAAAUAACUUACAAAGCAUUAUGCUUAAUUACCAGACCCUGCAGCACCACCCAGUGAGCCAACCAUGUCCUGGGCUGCACCAAAAGCAGCAUGUCUCUAAUGUGAAGGGAGGGGAUUCUGCCCCUCUCCUCCACUCUGCUGGGACCCCACCUGAGAGCAAUGAAGGACACAGACCCGCUGGAAGAACCCAGACAAAGGCCAUGAAGAUGAUCAGGGCACUGGAGCAUCUCUGCUAUGGAGACAGGCUAAGAGAGUUGGUGUUGUUCAGCCUGGAGAAGGCUCCAGGGAGACCACACAGCACCUUCCAGUACCUAAAAGGGGCCUCUAAGAAAGUUGGACAGAGACUUUUUACAAGAGCAUGAAGGGACAGGACAAGGGAUGACAGCUUUAAAUGGAUAUAGAGUAGAUUUAGAUUAGAUAUUAGGAAUAAUUCAUUUACUUGGGGGUGGUGAGACUCUGGAACAGGAUGACCCUCCAGUAGCUGUGGAGUUGCACCUGCCUGCAAGUGUCAAGACCAAGCUGAAUGGGGCUACCAGGUGUAGGAGGAGGUGUCCUUGCCCACGGCAGGGGGUUGGAACUAGAUGAUCUUCACAGUCCCUUCCAACACAAGGCAAUCUAGGGAAUCUCUUCUGACUGCCUUGUCAGCAUUGGUCUGAGCACUCUCCAUUUACAAAACAGCACUUUGCAGGUAUUUUCUAGAGCAUUUCAUGUCAAUCUACCUGCAGGAGCGUGUGCAAAAGUGACACAGAGUGAUACAAGUCUGACAACUACUGGUGUGGAAAAUGGAGAAACCCGACUGCAUUAUACAUUUUCAGGAUGUCGAAUCCCUGUUACUAAGUCCCUACAUUGCUUAUCAACCAAAUAAAAAGACCCAAGAAAACCCAAAAAGCAAGCAAGCAAGCAACCACAGGAAGACCUAAAAAACAAAGGCUCUCCAUCUUCGCAACUAUUUCUAUUUUAAGUUAGCAAGUUUCCUGCCUGGGUGAUGACGUUUUGCAGAUGCUACAAGAAACGCUACAUGGUAUUCAUUAAUCUGGGGCAAAUCAAUUAAAAUUAUACAACUGCUCGGUA